GACUCUUUAAAAAUCCUGGAGUUUAAUGAAGGCGUUGGAGGGUGGACUCAUGCAGCCGAACUUGUGUAAUUUCAUCUGCUCACUGCUUGGACGGGAAGUAAAUGACAGGGCACUUGGGACCUACAUCUGGAAACAACAUGUUUCAAAGGAUUUUAUAAAUCCAGCAGUAAAAGAAGAAGAAGAAGAAAGAAAAACCAGAGGAGAGUCACCGUGGAGGUGUGAGGAACUGUUGAGUUGUGAAGGGCUGUGCUAAGGCUGAAUGAAACCACAGUAAGUCAGACCCUACUUCAUUGAUGAUACUGCCAUCUAUUCCAGUCCCCCCUAUCCGAGACCCUGGUUGGAGGAUGAAGCUGUGUGGUACAUGAUUUUAAAGUCAGAUGGGGAAACUACAAUUUGGAGAAGUUUGAGUGAUUUUUCCCAAACUCAAACAAUAACUUAUAAAGCCAGAACUAAAAUUAACAUUUUCUGAAUAUGAACAGGCAGCUUUAGACUCCCGUUUUUUAAGGACAAUCAGAGCCAAAUAAAACAGCUGCAGUCCUUCGUAGUCAGAAAAAUGAGGCGAAAAUGCCCUGGAGAAAAAUGAAGUCAGAACUUGGAAAAUCAAGAAGAGCUGGGAAACUUCCCCCACCCCCAGGUUGCCGGCUGCCGAUGGGUGUGCACUUCUGCAAUGGAACCAGAGGUGUGAGGACACCCUGAAAACCAGGGGUGUGGUGCCUUUGGGAAGAACCGUGCCAGCUGGCCCACGGCCUCCCACGCUGGAGGGCCGGCCGGUGCCGGGCAUGCUCCACGGCCACAGUGUGCUAGCGUGGCUUCAGAGCCAGGCCUUCUCCUGACUCACAUAAACACGGCCCUAAUGGGCAGCUCCGGAGCCAAGUCUCCAUUCCCCAUCACACAUUUCUGUUGAAAUUGUUACUUCCAAUCCAGUUGCUUAAAAUGGCUUACUGUGCGUUACGAACUUUCAUUACUCUCUUGUGUUCAGGUAGCAGCUCCCCCAAGGAGGAAUCCGCUCCCCAGAAGCCCUCCUGCUCUGCAGGGGGUGGCGCUCGGCUAGAUCAGGUGGGAGUCCUGGGGCUCCCUCGGGUUCUCACGGGCCGUGCUGUGUUGGACAAGCAGCUGGGCUUAGCUCCCACCCUCACCAAUCACAAAAUAGAUCCACAUACUCCAGGUGAUCCAGGUGGAGAUCUGCUGGGGAGGGCCCAGGGGGCGAACCAGGGAAGUCCUCAGCCAGGAUGGGUUGUGUAGAAGGAGAUUAUGCUUUUUCAUGAAGUUUGGAUUUGGGCUGAGAAGAGAGCAAAAGGACAAACUAUGACAUUUUGGCGGAGAUUUUAAGAUGGUUACAGUCAGAGUUGGUCACAGGAGAGAUAGAAGGAAGCGGAGAAACAGAGUAAUCUACACUAAUAAAAGAGAAACAUGGUAAUUGGCGUACGACCGCUACCCUUCCCAUUGGCUAAUCAGGGAAAUAUGCAAAUUAACUGU